rnacentral:misc_RNA from 1 species
GAUGAAGAACGCAGCAAAAUGCGAUAAGUAAUGUGAAUUGCAGAAUUCAGUGAAUCAUCGAAUCUUUGAACGCACAUUGCGCCCGCUGGUAUUCCGGCGGGCAUGCCUGUUCGAGCGUCAUUUCAACCCUCAAGCCCCCGGGUUUGGUGUUGGGGAUCGGCUCUGCCCUUCUGGGCGGUGCCGCCCCCGAAAUACAUUGGCGGUCUCGCUGCAGCCUCCAUUGCGUAGUAGCUAACACCUCGCAACUGGAGCGCGGCGCGGCCAUGCCGUAAAACCCCAACUUCUGAAUGUUGACCUCGGAUCAGGUAGGAAUACCCGCUGAACUUAAGCAUAUCAAUAAGCGGAGGA